rnacentral:rRNA from 1 species
GACGAACCGUGCGAACGUUAUUCGGAAUCACUGGGCUUAAAGCGCGUGUAGGCGGGCCGGCACGUCGGAUGCUGAAAGCCCCCGGCUCAACCGGGGAACUGGCGGCGAUACGACCGGCCUGGAGGGGUGUAGGGGGACCUGGAACUUCCGGUGGAGCGGUGAAAUGCGUUGAGAUCGGAAGGAACGCCCGUGGCGAAAGCGAGGUCCUGGACACCAACUGACGCUGAGACGCGAAAGCCAGGGGAGCGAACGGG